GAAAUGCGAUAAGUAAUGUGAAUUGCAGAAUUCAGUGAAUCAUCGAAUCUUUGAACGCACCUUGCGCUCCUUGGUAUUCCUUGGAGCAUGCCUGUUUGAGUAUCAUGAAAUCUUCAAAGUAAAUCUUUUGUUAACUCAAUUGGUUUCUACUUUGGUAUUGGAGGUCUUUGCAGCUUCACACCUGCUCCUCUUUGUUCAUUAGCUGGAUCUCAGUGUUAUGCUUGGUUCCACUCGGCGUGAUAAGUUAUCUAUCGCUGAGGACACUGUAAAAGGUGGCCAAGGUAAAUGCAGAUGAACCGCUUCUAAUAGUCCAUUGACUUGGACAAUACUUUUAUGAUCUGAUCUCAAAUCAGGUAUGACUACCCGCUGAACUUAAGC
rnacentral:misc_RNA from 1 species